rnacentral:rRNA from 1 species
UACGUAGGUGGCAAGCGUUGUCCGGAAUUAUUGGGCGUAAAGCGCGCGCAGGCGGUCCUUUAAGUCUGAUGUGAAAGCCCACGGCUCAACCGUGGAGGGUCACUGGAAACUGGGGGACUUGAGUACAGAAGAGAAGAGUGGAAUUCCACGUGUAGCGGUGAAAUGCGUAGAGAUGUGGAGGAACACCAGUGGCGAAGGCGACUCUUUGGUCUGUAACUGACGCUGAGGCGCGAAAGCGUGGGGAGCAAACAGG